UUCCAGACUCCUACGGGAGGCAGCAGUGGGGAAUAUUGCACAAUGGGGGGAACCCUGAUGCAGCGACGCCGCGUGGGUGAAGAAGUCAUUCGUGACGUAAAGCCCUAUCAGCAGGGAAGAAAAUGACGGUACCUGACUAAGAAGCCCCGGCUAACUACGUGCCAGCAGCCGCGGUAAUACGUAGGGGGCAAGCGUUAUCCGGAUUUACUGGGUGUAAAGGGAGCGUAGACGGCGGCGCAAGUCCGGAGUGAAAGCCCGGGGCCCAACCCCGGGACUGCUCUUGGAACUGCGUGGCUGGAGUGCAGGAGGGGCAGGCGGAAUUCCUGGUGUAGCGGUGAAAUGCGUAGAUAUCAGGAGGAACCCCGGUG
rnacentral:rRNA from 1 species